AGUGAACGCUGGCGGUAGGCCUAACACAUGCAAGUCGAACGGCAGCACAGUAAGAGCUUGCUCUUACGGGUGGCGAGUGGCGGACGGGUGAGGAAUACAUCGGAAUCUACUUUUUCGUGGGGGAUAACGUAGGGAAACUUACGCUAAUACCGCAUACGACCUACGGGUGAAAGCAGGGGAUCUUCGGACCUUGCGCGAUUGAAUGAGCCGAUGUCGGAUUAGCUAGUUGGCGGGGUAAAGGCCCACCAAGGCGACGAUCCGUAGCUGGUCUGAGAGGAUGAUCAGCCACACUGGAACUGAGGCACGGUCCAGACUCCUACGGGAGGCAGCAGUGGGGAAUAUUGGACAAUGGGCGCAAGCCUGAUCCAGCCAUACCGCGUGGGUGAAGAAGGCCUUCGGGUUGUAAAGCCCUUUUGUUGGGAAAGAAAAGCAGCAGGUUAAGACCCCGCUGUUCUGACGGUACCCAAAGAAUAAGCACCGGCUAACUUCGU
rnacentral:rRNA from 1 species